rnacentral:rRNA from 1 species
GAUGAACGCUGGCGGCGUGCCUAAUACAUGCAAGUCGAGCGAACAGAUGAGGAGCUUGCUCCUCUGACGUUAGCGGCGGACGGGUGAGUAACACGUGGAUAACCUACCUAUAAGACUGGGAUAACUUCGGGAAACCGGAGCUAAUACCGGAUAAUAUAUUGAACCGCAUGGUUCAAUAGUGAAAGACGGUUUUGCUGUCACUUAUAGAUGGAUCCGCGCCGCAUUAGCUAGUUGGUAAGGUAACGGCUUACCAAGGCAACGAUGCGUAGCCGACCUGAGAGGGUGACCGGCCACACUGGAACUGAGACACGGUCCACAGACCUACGGGAGGCAGCAGUGGGGAAUCUUCCGCAAUGGGCGAAAGCAUAACGGAGCAACGCCGCGUGAGUGAUGAAGGUCUUAGGAUCGUAAAACUAUGUUAUUAGGGAAGAACAAAUGUGUAAGUAACUAUGCACGUCUUGACGGUACCUAAUCAGAAAGCCACGGCAAAAUACGUG